UACGUAGGGGGCAAGCGUUGUCCGGAUUUACUGGGCGUAAAGGGCGCGUAGGCGGCCACCGCAAGUCGACUGUGAAAUCUCCGGGCUUAACCCGGAACGGUCAGCCGAUACUGCGGGGCUAGAGUGCAGAAGGGGCAACUGGAAUUCUCGGUGUAGCGGUGAAAUGCGUAGAUAUCGAGAGGAACACCUGCGGCGAAGGCGGGUUGCUGGGCUGACACUGACGCUGAUGCGCGAAAGCUAGGGGAGCGAACGGG
rnacentral:rRNA from 1 species